AUGUCCAAUCAGCGCGGCGGCGGCUACGGGGGCCGCGGCGGUGGCCAGGUGGGCCUCCGCCGCGACGGGGGAGGCGGCGGCGGUGGCCAGGUGGGCCUCCGCCGCGACGGGGGAGGCGGCGGCGGCGAGGUUGCUGACGUUGACGAAGACGGCUUUACUCCCGUCAGAAACCGCAGGAGAGGCCCCUUUCGCGGCGGGGGCGGUGGAGAAGGCGGGGGCAGCGGCCGCGGCGGAGGCGGCGGCGCAGGCCCCCCUCUCGAGCCAAGCGGACGAGGGCGUCGGGAUGGCCCAUGGAAUGUACCUCGGGGCCCGUACCCCCCCGGGUACGACGACCACGCGCAGCAGCGACAGCAGCAUCCCGGCCGUGGCAACGCGGGCCGCGGCCGAGGCGGCGGGAAUCACGGCAGGGUCGACAGCGACAACAUUCACGGUCGAUACCAGGGCCACGGCGGAGGCGGCUUCCAAGGCCAGCACCCCUCGUCGCAGCAGCAGCAGCAGCGUCGCAACAACCAGCAGUAUGACCCGCCAUGGUGGGAGCCGAAGGAGAUCACACAGGCGACGAGCUCAUCUUCUUCUGGACCUGUUGGCUGUCCACUUGAAAAGAUAGAAGUCAAACUGCUCGUGAACCACUUCAGAAUCGAGUUUGGAGGAUCAACUAUCUUUUGCUAUGGGAUCGAGCUUGGCCAAGAUUCUUCUGAGACUUCAGAUCAGAGGUUUGCAACGGCUAAACUCUUGGAGAUACUUGCGCGGCCUCCAUAUUCAUUAGCUGCUGCCUUUGAUGGCAAGGGCCAUCUGUUCACCUUUGCCAAACUGCCACAAAGUGUAUAUCCAGUGGAAGUCCGGUCACGGACCUACAAUGUAUCAGCAGUGCUCAAGCCGGACCUGGAGCUGAGGCAACCCCUUCGGCCGCCUGUGACUAAAGGGAUCUUGCCGGCUCUUGAUGCCAUUGUGCGUGAGGCCUCUAGCUCAGGCAAGAUUAUCAUCGGUCAGACAUUUUAUUCACAGCAGCAGCGUCCUAAGAUCAGCUCUCAUGGGGCCUUUACUACCGAAGCUCUGGAAGGAACCAUGCAGACCCUAAAAGCCACCGAGCAAGGGCUGGUGUUGUGCGUGGACUAUUCAGUUAUGGAGUUUUGCCGAGAUGGAAGCAGUGUUGUGGAUCUUGUUAAGCACUUGGUGAAGCGGUUUGACACUGAUAUUCCCUUUGACAUGGAAACAGCUCUAGACGAGAAGCAACAGAAAUAUUUGGAGAGUCAGCUGAAAGGCCUCUGUAUCACAGUGAAUUACCUGAAGAAGUCCUCCAAAGGGAAAGACAAUGGGACCAGAAUUCAGAAGUACAAGGUUCAAGGUUUGACAGCUGAGCCUGCGCAACUUAUCACAUUCGAGGACUUUGAUUCAGGGAAGCCCCCCCAUAAGCUUGUUGAGUAUUAUCGUGAGCAGUAUGAAGUGGAGAUUCAGUAUAAGAUGCUUCCAUGCUUGGACUUGAGCACGACAAAUGGCAGACCAAAUUAUGUCCCGAUUGAGCUCUGUACUCUUCAUCGACGGCAGAAGUAUCCCAAGGACAUUAUGCUCAAGGGUUCCAAUCAGAAGCCAAGGGACAAGCCACUCGAAUCAAAUGCCCGGAAAGAUAGGAUUCUGGAUAUGGUAAAACCUCCAGAAGGGCCUUGCAGCAGUAGCAGAGGCCAGCAAUUUAACAUUACAUUGAACAGAGAGAUGACAGAAGUCACGGGUACUAUUCUUGCUCCCCCCACCCUGACAGUCGGCUCCUCCACUGGCCGCCGCGACUACAAUAUCAGCAAGAAAAACUGCCAGUGGAACCUCAUGAAUUGGAUGAAACUGGUAGACGGCAAAGUACUGAAGUGCUGGGGCAUUCUCGACUUCAGUGCAAUGCCAUCUCACUCUGGCCAGGAAGGGCUUCAUAGAGACAAGUUCAUUGACAAUAUCGUCGACAAGUGUGUUCACCUUGGUAUUCAGAUGCAAAGACAGGGCUGUUUUGUGAGAUGUUCAGCAAUGUCAGUGCUAUCUGAUCCGAGCAAACUACGCAAGGAGCUUAUCCAGGUGAAGAAGGAUGCGGAGGACCGCACGCAGAAGAAGCUGCAACUCCUCUUCUGCCCGAUGUCUGAGCAGCACCGUGGGUACAAGAUACUGAAGAUGAUCUGCGAGACAGAGCUGGGGAUCCAAACCCAGUGUCUGUUGAGCGACCUGGCAAACAAAGGCAAGGGCCAGGACCAGUACUUGUCCAACCUUGCCCUCAAGAUCAACAUCAAGCUCGGGGGAAGCAACAUGCAGCUAUCUGACCAGCUUCCAAAGGUGACUGGCUCACGUUUCAUGUUCAUCGGCGCGGACGUGAACCACCCGCCUCCAGGAGACACGGUGAGUCUGUCGAUAGCAGCUGUUGUGGCGUCCAUGGAUUGCCCUAGCGCCAGCCAGUACGUGCCGAGAAUCCGUGCCCAGAAGCGCGGCACGGAGGAGAUCGAUAACCUCGGUACCAUGUGUAAGGAGCUCAUCCAAGUCUACAUGGAAAGGAACGGCGGCUUCAAGCCAGACAAGAUCAUUUACUUCCGCGAUGGCGUGAGCGACGAGCAGUUCAAGAUGGUCCUUGACAAGGAGCUAGUGUCUAUGGAGAAGGGACGAUCACAGUUGUCGUGGCCAAGAAGCGGCACAACACGCGGCUGUUCCCCAAGGACGAAAACGAGCUGCAGACAACGAAUGGCAAUGUGCUCCCUGGCACGGUCGUCGACACAGUCGUGGUCGACGGGUCGCACGAUGACUUCUUCCUCUGCAGCCACGACGGGCUGCACGGGACGAGCCGGCCGACGCACUACUACAUGCUGA
rnacentral:rRNA from 1 species